CUUAAUAUAUAUAUAUAUAUUUUUUACAUAUAUGUGUGUAUAUAUCCUAUUGUUCCUGUUUCUCUGGAGAACUCGGACUAACAACCUGUCAAGUCCUUAGGACAGCGUCUACCAUACACCAAGCACACAAUAAAUCUUGUUAUUAAGAUGCAUCACGUUGAACCAAACGUGAUGAAGUUAAUUGCUGCUGCCUGGAGGGCCCUCUGGGAAGAUCCUGCUAGGACUGAGAAGAGGGGUUUUCUCCUAGGCAAGAAAUACAACGCAACGACAAAUCCCAGAAAUUUCUCAAGUCCAGAAGAUAGGCUACGGAAGCUGUGGUUCUGAGCCUCUCCCCCUCUCCCCCCGCACAGCACACCAUUGCCAGAACACUCUUUCUAAAGCGCUCUUUAAAUGCUACCAGCUCAUCGAGGGUGAACUCCUUCAUUUAUCUCACACAUAUGUAUUGAGGUGUUCGGCUUGGCCCUGGGGAUACGACAGUGAGUGAAAUAACCACAUCCCUGUCCAGGGAAGCAUACAGCCUAGGGAGGGAGCCAGACACCCAUGCAUACAUGUACCUCUCCAGGCUCCAACUGAUACAGCACAACAGCAACAACAACAAAAGAACUUGGUGUUGGGGAGGGGAUUGUGGGGGAGACCCUAAUUCAGAAAGACUUCCUGAAACUCCCUUUACUUCAUCCCCUCCUCAUGCCAGUGCACCACUUUGAUUUAGGUUUGAUGGGUUUAGCAUAAAUUCACUUAUUUGACUUACGGAUACUAUGGGCACUCACCAAAGGGAGGUCUCUGCAAGUAGAGGAACCCACCUUGCCAGCACAUGACCUCCUUUGCCCCCAAAUGACCCACUCAGGCACAGAGUGACCUAGACUUCAACUUGGAUUCCUCUUCUAAGACCGCCUUCCUGCUCCCCUCAUUCUCUCCCCUUCUCCCCCGUCCUCAGCAUCACUGGGGUGUACCCACUCUGCCUUUGCCCUUGCUAUUUCUGGAUGUUCCCCUUCUCCCUGCUGCUCAGCCAAACUCCUCCCUGGGAUCCAACCCUAAGUGCAAUAGGAGAGGAAAAAAGGAGGGGCCAGCACAGGCUGAAAACUUUAAGAAACAAUCGAGGGUUUACUUUGGACCUUGAAGGAUGCGUGGGAUGUAGGGUUUAGCUAAGAGAAAUGCGGAGAAGCGGGGCCUGGAUUUGGAGAACAUUGGAAGAGGUGACGGAUGCUGCCAGUGACCGAAACUGAGCCGUUUGAGUGGUCUGGGAGAGCCGGAGAAGGUGGACCAUUAACAUGGCUAGGCAAGUCAGGGUCCUAUCAUGAAAAAACAGGCAUUGUGCCUGCCCUCAAGGAAUUCUCUAUUAAUUGGAAAUUCCAGAAGAAAAAAACAAUUCUCCUUAAUGACUCCUCAUGCCCAGGCACAAUUCGGGGCACAGCAUAGUUUCCAAAGUUCAAUACCAGACUGACUGGCUGAAAUUCUUUUGAACUCAGUUGAGAGCCGACUCCAAACCUUUCCAUCUGCUGACUCCUCCUUUGUACACGAAGACCACAUUUUCCAUUUGCCUUAAAACAGCUGAACAUUUUUGCUGCAUUACUGAGGCCACUUUAAUUUAUCACUUUGUUUUAAGGAACCACACCAUCCAAAAAUAGCACAAAAUUACUCCUGUUUGAGGGUGGACGGUACUGCAGCUUUACAUGAGACGUGUAAUCUUCCAUUGAUGGGGCCAGCGUGAAUAGAGUCGCGAUUUUCUGCACGUUCUAACGGUUACAAUUGGGAGCGGCUCAGUUUUUGUGAAGCAAGUUAUAUGUUGGUUUUUGUUUUGUUUUUUGUUUUUGUUUUGUUUCGUGUUUUGGGGUUUUUUUUUGUUUGUUUUUGUUUUGUUUGUUUUGCCACCAGAGCCACCAAAGGAUGUCUGAGCAGCCACAGGGAGAAGCUGGGCAGCUGGGGUCCAAAUUCCUCCCUUGUCCAGGCCCAGGCAGGCUCGGAUAUUUUAAAGAGUCGACUUACCAAACCUUCUUUCUCCCAGCUUUCCACAAUGUCAUUUUGCGUCUCUGCUUCUAAAACAUUUGGUUUUACGUUGGAUGUCAUAUUUUAAGUAUAUGAGAACAUAGUUUAGGAUUUCACUGAAACCUGGCAGAUAAGUUAAAGGGGCAGUGUUUUGAGAAAUAGAAGUCAGUGCUGGUCUCUCCAGAAAUUUGGUUGGGAUUGUGAUUUUUCUUAUUUUUACGAUUAUAGUUUCUCCUCCCUCACCCCUUGCCUUGCACCACCCCUCUGCCCCCUGCCAUGUACAUAAGAGGGACUCAUUUUAGUGUCUGUCUUGAAAAUCACCAUAAUGGAAUAUAUAUGAGGAUUAGGCAUAGAAAUGUCAGGCCUUAUUAAGUCUCAGUAGUCAAACUCGCUCUUGUGUUUCCCAUUACCGCUCCAGUCUUUGAGACUUUCCAGAGAGGAAGAAUUCUGUGAGUCCCAUAGGAAAUGCAGCCCCUCCCCCAGAUUUAGCAGAACCUCGCCUGGGGUCAGUCAUUAUUGGAAGACUGUAAUGUUUUCCACUUUUGUUGACUUUUAGAAAAUUCUAUUUCAGAGGAGACCUUUGGGAGAUUCCUGUAAUCAAAUUCUGCCAAGGAGGGGAAAGUCUAGCUGUUAGCGUAUUAUUAAAUGCCCUGUAUAACCACGGAAUCUGGGCAUUCGUAAUCCCUCUCCCCAAGGAGCUCAGAGAGCUUUGGAUACAUUACUUUCUUUUAUUCAUCCUCACAAGGGACACGAAGAAAAUGAGGGGGCCAGACUCUAAACAGUCUUCCCGACAUGCUCAGCUAUCAUAGUACCAUGUUUAUUUUCCAUUCUGGACUUCUCUAAGGAGAUGUGUGGAGACUUGACAAAGCUUAGAAGCAACCUAAAAUAACCAUUAAAGGUAGAGCCACCAGAAUGUGGGCACUUGCCAGGGUUUAGAGAGACCCCUUUGGAGCAAAGCAAUGACCUUGUAAGUCCACCUAUGAGGAAGGAAAGGGGGCUCCUUACUUCAUGGGAACAAGCACAUGACUUCAGGAGCCCAGAAACGAGCUCUUGGCCCAGGAUGCACCUUGCUCGAAAGGGAGGCUCUCCCACCUUCUGCCAAAGACAGUGGCUGACGCAUCUCCCUGGCUGUCUUCCACUUUAAAGAACGAAUCAGCUGAUCAGCAUAGACUCACCUUCCUGUGCGCUGCCAAGAAGUAUGUGGGUCAGUGGGAGGUUCUAGUUGGGAGGUUCUGGCCCAGGAUGUGAACUAUGGUGACUCCAUAUUGCACUUUGUGGCCAGAGUGACCGUGCACACACUGUCUCAGGGAAAGAGUCAGAUAGUCUCUAGGCAAAAAGUAAACCUGGAAACCUCUCUUUCCUUUGGGCAUCUGUAUUUCCUCAGUGUUGGAAACCUUAACACACACACAACAUAGCUUCCCCAGGCCUUUAUUAGUCUACACCUUAGGUUUGCUCAAAUCUGCUUUACAGAAAAGAUUUUUUAAUAAUUUUUUAAUGUUUAUUUUUUACAGAGAGAGAGCAGGGGAGGUACAGAGGGAGAGAGGGAGACCUAGAAUCCGAAGCAGGCUCCAGGCUCUGAGCUGUCCGCACAGAGUUCAAUGCAGAGCUCAAACCUGCAGACCGCAGGAUCGUGACUUGAGCCGAAGUUGGACACUGAACCGACUGAGCCACCCAGGUGCCCCUGUACAGAAGAGAUUUAAUGAAAUGAUUCCUGAUGAGAUUGUGUUGCUUCUCCCCAGGGUGUCUGCAUUUGUAAAAGAACCAAACAUGAGAUCAGAGAGUUAAACUACUGUAUAUGAGGAAUUGCAAGGCUGGCGGAAGAGGCAUUUUAGCCAUACUACACCCCUCCCCGAGACCUAGAUUAUCCCAGAAGUGUGGCUGAUGCCUGUUCUACCUUCUCAGAAACGUGGGACACGGAAAAGAGCAGAGACCAGUGUGGAGGUUUAUCACGGGUUUAGCAUCCGAGUGACUUGGGCGGGAGUUCACCUUUCUAGGUGUCAGUUUGAGUCUACAGAAUGAAGGCUAGGAAGAAGCCCCAGUCCACACCAUUUCUUCCACCGUCUCCUCUCUUCCUCCUCAUCCUCCACCCUCCUCUCCCUCCUCCCUCACUGUUGGGGCCACCGUGUAGAUAAGAGUUUCCUCCUGGCCAGCUGUGUAAGCCAGAGUGGGAAAUUGUGGCCUACUCCCAAGUCACCCCAGAAUUUCUAUGCAGGUUUAAUUAGGAAGCAACAGUCUGGUGGAAGGGGUGGAGUUGGAAUGUGUUGCGCUUUACGUAGGACGGUGUCCUCCCUGCCCGCACCCAAGCUGUGCGUUGGCUCCAAUACUUACCAGCUGAUCCCCAGGAUACCUUAUAGUCUGGAGUUUCAGGAUUCAAAAUGUCAGCCUCAACUCUGGGGUCUGACCCACCAGCUGCUUCGGGUUGCCUCUCUCUCCAGCCCUUCUGUGCUCUCUGCCUUCCCUCCUCUCCUGCUCUGCUUUCCCAGGUCAAGCAGGCUACAGAAAUGCAGUCCCCUUCGGGCCCCAGCUGUUUGCCUGCCGGCCGUCUCUGUGUCCCAGAGUUGGGAGCGGGAAGCCCUUCACAUCCCAGCAGCCCUGACAGAGGCGUGAGGAUGGGCAGGGCUGCUGCUGGGAAGGGAAUAACUGAACCGGUUGUGUGGGAGCAACGUGCCUGAGAGAUAGCAGGCAGGGCAUGGGUGAAAAUGCUAAUAAAAAUUUAAAAUAGAACCUGCAGAACAGGUACUGCUCUUCUUGAGUCUGUUGGAGCCUACUGCCGAGAUCAGAAUGAUCCCCAUGGAUGUCAUGAGAGUGAGGAAGGCCACAGAGGGGACUGACCGAUGCUGGCAACCGUGUGUGUUAUUAUAACCUUUUUGCAAUGUUAUUCUUCGUCUGGACACCUGGUUCCAUCUCCGAUGCUAUCCAGAUGAUUCGUAAUCUAAUGUCGGCUUCAACACACAUUUAAAGGUAACUAGACCAAGCGUACAUUAUGUCAGGAGCUGCUCACCUGGAGGCCCCGCAGUUCAGGUCACCUGUAUUGUCUCUGGGCAACAUGCUAAUCAUGCUACUAGAAGCUGAGGACACACGGUGACCACAGUGAGUUCCUUCCCUCCCCUCAGGGGCCGGGUGUACAGGCAGGCGAUUUUAAAAUGAUCUGGAAUGGAGCAGGAGCCAAGAGAGCAGGGAGGAGGGGCCCACUUACCAGAGCGGUGGGGCCUGGCCUUGGAAGAUAAAAUGCGAGGCCGAGGCCGGGUUUGCAGGAUGAAAGGAGUUACCCAGGUGAGAGGGAGGAAGCGAAGGGCAUUCCCAGCAGGGGGAGCUCUCCUUUUGUGCAUUGGACCGAACUCAGGUGGGAGAUGGAAAGGGGAAAGGAAGCAAUCAGCGAGCGGGAAGAAAAGGGAUUGAUUGCAUCCUCUGACUUCUCUAUUCUUCUCACUCAGCCCUGAUUCCUGCAGAGGGCAAGGGCACACCGAAGGAGGGUUUUUAGCAGCUUAAAAGAGUGGGAGAAAAAGCAACUGAAUCAAAAGCCCAAGUUCUUUCAAGAAGUCCCAGAAAGUGGUCUUUACUCCUUCCCAUCACUCCCCAACAUCACCUAAAUCCAGGAGAAACUGAGAUGCCCCAGAAGCUCACCUCUGCAAGUGCCAUCAUGAAUAAUGCCAACACCAAGAAUCUGAGUAAGCAGUGUCCUAGGAGUACUGGACUUGUUUGCAGGCAUCCUUAUUGCUGAAGGGAGAGGGUUUAUUUGAUUUACUCUCAGGAGUUAUUUUCCUAGUAUUAAGUCACUCUAGGGAGACUUUUUGUGAUUACCUAUGAGUAAAUAAAACAGUGAAAUUGCAAUGAAAAUAAAUCAUUAAUCAACUUUAA